AACGAACGCUGGCGGCGUGGAUAAGACAUGCAAGUCGAACGGGACAGACCGAGUAGCAAUAUUUGGAAUGUUCAGUGGCGAACGGGUGCGUAACACGUGGAUAACAUUCCGGAAAGCAGGGAAUAGCCCAGGGAAACUUGGAUUAAUACCGCAUGUGGCCGCAAGGCUAAAGACGGGGACCGCAAGGCCUGUCACUUUCCGAUUGGUCCGCGGCCUAUCAGCUAGUUGGCGGGGUAAUGGCCCACCAAGGCUACGACGGGUAGCUGGUCUUAGAGGACGACCAGCCACACUGGAACUGAGACACGGUCCAGACACCUACGGGUGGCAGCAGUCGAGAAUCUUUCACAAUGGGGGCAACCCUGAUGGCGCGACGCCGCGUGGAGGAUAAGGUCUUCGGAUUGUAAACUCCUGUCAUGCGAGAACAAGGUACUCAGGCUAAUAACCUGAUUGUUUGAUGGUACCGCAAGAGGAAGAGACGGCUAACUCUGUGCCAGCCGCCGCGGUAAUAC
rnacentral:rRNA from 1 species